rnacentral:rRNA from 1 species
CGCAUCUGUGCAUGCAGCAUAUCAAUAAGCGGAGGAAAAGAAACUAACAAGGAUUCCCUUAGUAACGGCGAGUGAAGCGGGAAGAGCUCAAAUUUGAAAUCUUCAAGGUUUUACCUUGACGAAUUGUAGUUUAAAGAAGUGUUUUCUGUUGAAGUUUUGGUAAAAGUUCUUUGGAAUAGGACAUCAUAGAGGGUGAGAAUCCCGUAUUUGACCAUUAUUUUCAGCUGUGUGAUACACUUUCAAAGAGUCGGAUUGUUUGGGAAUGCAGUCCAAAAUGGGUGGUAAAUUUCAUCUAAAGCUAAAUAUUGGCGAGAGACCGAUAGCGAACAAGUACCGUGAGGGAAAGAUGAAAAGAACUUUGAAAAGAGAGUUAAACAGUACGUGAAAUUGUCAAAAGGGAAGCGUUUGACACCAGUGUUGUUUUCUCGAAAAUCAAUUAAAAAGAGUUUGAUUUUGUUGUGUAUUGACCUUAACAGCUUGCAUUUCAAUUUUCUUGCUUUUUUUAAUGCACUUUUCGUUUAACAAGUCAACAUCAGUUUCUUUUGUUGUAAAAAGGUCAUUGGAAGGUGGCUUUCUUUUCGGAGAAAGUGUUUAUAGCCUUUGACUCCUGCAAUCGGAGAGACUGAGGUCUGCAGCGUAGAUCCUUCGGGGUCAGAUACAUUUGUGCUAAGUUAUAGCUUUUUAUAGACAACUUGUUGACUAUGAUUAGUCUUGUAGCUUACUCGCUUAUGCUAUUUUACCUACGCUUAGGAUGUUGACACACGCGCGUGCUCG